GAAAAUGGUUUGGGGGUGCAUGUGUGAAGAAUCCCGUCUGCAUGGAUAUGUUGCUGAUGUGACACUUGAUUGCUCUUUAUUUUGUUGGUAUGUUUUUAAAUAUAUAUUUGAUGUAUAGAAUUGUCAGGCAAAGACUCGUAAGCAUUGAGAAAUGCAGCUCUCUACAGUGGACCAGCCUCUCCUUAAUAGUGGUUCCUCUUCAGUGUGGGAGAUGUGCUCCUGACUGCUCUGAGCACCUUGGCUGGGGAGGACGAUUAGUGCCAGGUGCUUGUCCUGCUGUAUAAACCUGCACAGGGAGCGUUUUCCAUCAUUUGGAGCCUGAAGGGAAAGAGGAUUUAUGGAAUGGGGAGCGUGAGGCACCAGCUCAGCAAAUACCAAAGCAUCUAUGUAAGCGUUUGUACGUUGGAGACGUAAGUACACAAGUGGUCUUGAUCUUAAGCCACUCCGUAUUGCUGGGUCCGAAGGCUGAACUGGGAACACGCAAUACAGUUUGUAUGCUGGCAUUUUGAGAUGUCUUCUCUAAGGAGAGGUUUCUCUAUGCUGUGAUUUCGCAUCUUCUUCCAAUCACUCUCAGUCUGUUUAGCAGACUUACAGCCCCUCAGCACAUGCUGAAUGUCACAUCGUCAGUGCAGUCGAUUAAUCAUUUUCUUAUGGUCUUAGCCUCAAUUCUCUUAAAUUUUGGCAAGGACAUUGUAAUAGCUGACCUAUUAUUGUUUCUCUCUCCUUCUGACCUGCUGAUGUCCCCCAGCUAUAGGUGGCAUUAUGGAGGUCUUUGGUGGCCCUUCCAAUACUCUUGUACUUUAGAGAUCAGCUUUCACUGCAGCCUUCAAAGUCAGCUCUCAACACAUUGCUAGCUUCUUUCUAUGCAGGUGAAGCCAUGAGUGAGUGUGUGUGUCUGUGUGUGUCUUGUGGCAGAUAAUGGGAGCAUCUUCACUGGUAAUUGUAAAGUCAGGAUCUGUAAUUAAUUCUUCUAUAAAGCUCUCAACCUCAAGGUGAGCCUUUAUCCAUCUAUUAGUGCAGGGGAGGGACACACUUGUCUAGAGGCAGAAGAUGGGAGCAGGGAGGAAAGAGAACUGGCUCCUUUGUUUGAAUGAUAUUGUUCCCUUCAUGCCUCAAACAAAAUGAGAGUGUGGCUAAAACCAGUGAGAUUUGACCUCUCAGAACACAGACUUCAAAAGGAUUGGAGAAAAUAGUCCCGGAGCAGGCACUGGAAACCCCAUCCUGCAGAUUCCUCUCAUUCCAAGAUGUGAGGCUCAGGAGCACACGCACAUGCUCGGGUUCCCCUCUUAACCCCCAGGAGCUGUGGCUUAGGGAAAAGCACCAAAUACUGCAAGAGCUGUUAACACUUCAUUAUUUGCAUAAGUGGUUUUUUACCCCCACUCCCCCACCCCCCCUUUCUUUUUUAAUAGCAGCUUGGAAACAGUUUAAAACUCUUUCCAUGGAAAGCUCUGUCAGAGAAGAGACGGUUUUGUCACAAACCUUCAUGCUGAACUGAUUAUACAGCCCGAUGUACUGGAGCCUUCCCUGGAAGGAGAACUUGAUGUACCUCCAUAUACACUUAACAGGCAGCAGGACUUGUUCUGCCAGAUUCAAAGGAAAGAGAGGAGUCCCCUAGGGGUGAGAGUAAUCUCUAACAAAAGCAGAUAGUGUCUGACAAAUCUAAUUAGUAUUGAGGAUUCAGAGCGUGCUGAGCUGGAGAGCGUGGUGAUAUGGCCCCGUGUUAGUAAGGAUACGUGCUUGAGGACCAUGCAGCUUUGCCAAAGGAGAAAUGUAGAUCAAGGAAAAGCUGAAGUAGAUGCUCAAGUAUUUGUUGGUUGGAUGGACUAGCUAAAGACAGAAGGGGCAAACAAACCACAAUAAUCAAAAGCUCUUUCAGUUGACUCUAUCUCUGUUGAAGGCUUUGGGGGGACUCUUCAGAGAAAAGUUAAACCCAUUUUAAUUCAGUGUCUUUCAUUUGCCUUGAAGAACUACGGUUUUGGAGACUAACAUGUAAAAAACCCAACAAACCAAAACCCCAAAACACAACAGGUUCUGUUUUUUGGGUUUUUUUUUAGGUAAAAUGUAGCCCAAAAAGGUAGUCCAUAGUUGUAUUUGGUGCAACUGUAAUCUACUGUUAAGCACAGCCUAGGGUGGUAGGCUAACAGGAGCUCAUAGAAAUGUGUCUCUGCAGGUGAUGGCAAGCUGACUUUUCACCUCCUGAUCUGGACUGAUGACUACCUUUUGAAGACCCUCCUGGUCAUUAAGGGAUGUAGUGUGAUCCUGUUUCCAAGCCUCCAAUGCUCACUUAUACUACUAGAAAGCUGACAGGAGAAUGGUGUGUUGUAAUACAUGAAGUGCUUUGGAGAUACUUAAGUGUAAGUUCAUUAAGACAUGGUUUAUAUUCACCACUGACUGGGCUUGGAAUUUCUUCCAGGAGAUCCCAGCAUGCUUGUAUGCCUUGUCCCUGCAGGUUACAGGGACACUGACAGAUGGCUGAGCUCUCAUGGGUGGUUCUGAUUUGUGGGGUUCCUCAGGUCAGGCAGCUUCUCCAGUGGGUGUGAUUGCUUUGGUUUGGGUUUUUCUUUUGUUCAUUGCACAAUUCCUUGGAAUAAUGCCUUUCACCUUGUCUCCACAUGAUUGGUUUUUCCUCUGCGUCCCACUCAGUGACUCAGGUCAAAGGCAUCUUUUCCAGUGCACUGUUUCUUUGGGGAUUUUUUUGCCUUUCCAGAUGUGCAUGAGCUCAAGGACAACAACUAGAAUGGAGACAAGUGUUAAGAGAAGCAUUGAUGCUCAGCUCUAGUUCUCUCAGAAGGUGAAAAGGGAUGAGGCUUUGAUGUAGUGUGGAAGAUCCUCACUUUCCAUCCAAUUAGAGUUGAUGACUGGACUCCUUUGGAGCCAGGCAGGUGACCAUGGAGCUGGUUUAUUCUCUAGCAGCACUGGCAAGCAUUUUGGAUGAAACCGCCACCAAAGUUAUGGCCUCCCUACUUAUCUCCCAGCUGAUGCUUUAAGUACAUCUACUCAGUCUGCCUGAUCCUGGUUAGGGUUAUAUGAGGUUCUACCUAUGCUUUGGUCUCAACAACCUGGAGUCUAUUUACUGAUGGAGGCUGAUCAGGACAGAGAAAUCGGGUAUCUCCA